rnacentral:rRNA from 1 species
CCUGCGGAAGGAUCAUUAAAAAUGAAGCCGGGAAACCGGUCCUUCUAACCCUUGAUUAUCUUAAUUUGUUGCUUUGGUGGGCCGCGCAAGCACCGGCUUCGGCUGGAUCGUGCCCGCCAGAGGACCACAACUCUGUAUCAAAUGUCGUCUGAGUACUAUAUAAUAGUUAAAACUUUCAACAACGGAUCUCUUGGUUCUGGCAUCGAUGAAGAACGCAGCGAAAUGCGAUAAGUAAUGUGAAUUGCAGAAUUCAGUGAAUCAUCGAAUCUUUGAACGCACAUUGCGCCCUCUGGUAUUCCGGAGGGCAUGCCUGUUUCGAGCGUCAUAAUGACCAAAUCACCCUUGUGGUGGACUUGGAGUUGGCCUGUACUGGCCUCUCUUAAAAUCAGUGGCGGUGCUCUUAAAGCUCUACGCGUAGUAAUUUUUCUCGCUAUAGGGUCUUGAUUGUACUUGCCAACACCCCACUAUA